GUAGGGUGCGAGCGUUAUCCGGAAUCAUUGGGCGUAAAGAGCUCGUAGGCGGUUCAGCAAGUCGGCUGUGAAAUUCCGAGGCUCAACCUCGGAACUGCAGUCGAUACUGCUGUGACUCGAGUCCGGUAGAGGAGAAUGGAAUUCAGGGUGUAGCGGUGAAAUGCGCAGAUAUCCUGAGGAACACCAGUAGCGAAGGCGGUUCUCUGGGCCGGUACUGACGCUGAGGAGCGAAAGCGUGGGUAGCAAACAGGAUUAGAUACCCUGGUAGUCCCACGCCCGUAAACGUUGGACACUAGGUGUGGCGUUCCGACCAACGGGUGCCGUGCCGAAGCUAACGCAUUAAGUGUCCCCGCCUGGGAGUACGGCCGCAAGGCUA
rnacentral:rRNA from 1 species